AACGAACGCUGGCGGCAUGCCUAACACAUGCAAGUCGAACGAGACCUUCGGGUCUAGUGGCGCACGGGUGCGUAACGCGUGGGAACCUGCCCUUAGGUUCGGAAUAACUCCCCGAAAGGGGUGCUAAUACCGGAUAAUGUCUUCGGACCAAAGAUUUAUCGCCUUUGGAUGGGCCCGCGUUGGAUUAGCUAGUUGGUAGGGUAAAAGCCUACCAAGGCGACGAUCAUAGCUGGUCUGAGAGGAUGAUCAGCCACACUGGGACUGAGACACGGCCCAGACUCCUACGGGAGGCAGCAGUGGGGAAUAUUGGACAAUGGGCGAAAGCCUGAUCCAGCAAUGCCGCGUGAGUGAUGAAGGCCUUAGGGUUGUAAAGCUCUUUUACCCGGGAUGAUAAUGACAGUACCGGGAGAAUAAGCUCCGGCUAACUCCGU
rnacentral:rRNA from 1 species